UCUUCUGGUUAAUACAAGGAGGAUGAGACGAGGUUUCAAGCUGAGCAUAAAACAAAUAGUAUGACUUUCUGUCUUCUCAUUUCUCUGUUUGCUGUUUACUUUAAGAUUUUAGUGUAAACUUGUUGUUUAGCAUUCUUGUUACUUAGUUGAUUUAGAAAAAAAAAAUGAAGUAUAAAACUUCCAUAAACUUAGAAAAGAGAAGAAAAAAACAUAGGGUUAAUUUUAAGGGAAAUAGGAAGUUAUUACUUAAAUCAAAAUUGUAAUUAAUCUACUCACUCAAAGAUGGAACCUAAUCAUGAAAAGAAUGACCGAUGAAUCGUAAAUCUUAAAGAAUGUGUAGAGAAUUUAGAAGUUUAGGUAAAUUAAAUAAAAUAAAAUUUUAGAAUAACUGAAGAAUAAAAUUAUAUAUUAUCAUAAUUUAUAUUUUUAUCCUUAAUAAAAUAAGUUCAACAUAAAUUAUUAAUGUAAUGUUGGAUAUUUUUCAUAGUGUGUGCCCACAUGGGUGUGUUUUGUAACCCCUACUCCUAGGAUUUUACAUGUCUUUUUAUGUGUGCUGGGUCUCUUUAACUGCACCAUUAAAUAUUAUUUAUUAAUGUAAUGUUGGAUAUUUUUCAUAGUGUGUGCCCACAUGGGUGUGUUUUGUAACCCCUACUCCUAGGAUUUUACAUGUCUUUUUAUGUGUGCUGGGUCUCUUUAACUGCACCAUUAAAUAUUAUUUAUUGAUAAAAAGUGUUGAACAUCUCUAGCAGGUACAACUCUGUAAGCGCUGGUAUAAAGUAUUGAGGCACUUAUACUUAGCCAGGAGCGCCUGAAGUCACUCAAAUCUCAGUGGAGGAUGCUGAAGUAUGAUGGGAGUAGGCAUGGUUGAUGGCAGAAUGACGGUGAAAAAAGGCCUUCGAAUGCCAUGGCACAGCCGCUGGUAUGGCUCAGUUGCUGGAGUAUGCAACAUCACCACUUUGCUGCUUCCUGAACAUUAGUCGUGAACGAAGAUGAAGCCAUAAGUGUCAAGGAAAAUAGCAUGAACAAAAGGAUGGAUGGGAUCUGUGCAGGGGUUGAGUAUCAAUAUCAAACCCACGUCCGAUCCUCUGGUGAAAACUCAGGCAGCGAACAACCAUGGAAGCUACAAUUACCAAGUCAAGGCUGUUCAAGAAGAUGUGAAGAUGUGCAGGGCAAGGACCGUGUGGACAACAAUCUGAAGCAUAAGGGCAAGAUUUGUAUCCUUGUCUGUAAUUUUUUGCUGCUGUCCUGCUCGUAGGAUUCAUCUUUUCUUGAUGGUGUUAUUUAUGCGUGUUUUAUGUGCUGAUGCUGGUGUGUUGUUCCUGGUUAUGCUUAGGCAGUAGGAUUUUCUUUUCUUUGAAGAAAACAU
rnacentral:lncRNA from 1 species